rnacentral:lncRNA from 1 species
UUUGACAACACUGCACCUACGUUUAUGAACAACAACUAGGUUAUUUCAGUUCCAUUUGCUGCAUAUAAUCCAACAACAAAACAGCCAAUCAACAAGACAUUCAAGGUAUUAUACUAUAGCACUACACUAUCUUCACAUACAUACUUCACACCCCAACAGAUCAUGCUUCAAUGAAUUAGAAGUUCAGAAAGUAUAGAGUUGAGUAUUGUGCAAAUGGACAUAGCAAACCACACACUUGUGUAUAUAUGGUUUAUAGCAUUUUGCAGAAAUAGUAUGAUUUGUGCAUUAAUAUAUUGCCACUAUACUUAGAACCA